UGAAAUCUGGCCCUCGGGUCCGAAUUGUAAUUUGUAGAGGAUGCUUUUGGUGAGGUACCUUCCGAGUUCCCUGGAACGGGACGCCAUAGAGGGUGAGAGCCCCGUCUGGUUGGAUACCGAUCCUCUGUAAAGCUCCUUCGACGAGUCGAGUAGUUUGGGAAUGCUGCUCUAAAUGGGAGGUAUAUGUCUUCUAAAGCUAAAUAUUGGCCAGAGACCGAUAGCGCACAAGUAGAGUGAUCGAAAGAUGAAAAGCACUUUGAAAAGAGAGUUAAAAAGUACGUGAAAUUGUUGAAAGGGAAGCGCUCAUGACCAGACUUGGGCUUGGUUGAUCAUCCAGGGUUCUCCCUGGUGCACUCUUCCAGCCCAGGCCAGCAUCAGUUCGCUGUGGGGGAUAAAGGCUUUGGGAAUGUGGCUCCUCCGGGAGUGUUAUAGCCCAUUGUGUAAUACCCUGUGGUGGACUGAGGUUCGCGCAUCUGCAAGGAU
rnacentral:rRNA from 1 species